AAUCAGAUAGCUACCGACCGGUCGUGUACGUCUUCUUUCCUUGUAACGAAUUGCGUGCUAUCGGUUUCAUCCAUCAUGAGUCAAAGCCAAGGGACUUCCGCCCUGAUUGACUAACUAACCCCGACGGACCUAUCUAUAUAGCGGUUGAGGAUCUUGGGUUGCGAACCGCGGAAGACAGAAAGACUUUGGUUGAGGAUGACCAGCAUGGAAACAUGCACGCCGUUCCAAUCCGCCAUCAUGCGGCGAUCGUAUCAGAAUCGUCACAAGCUAACGUUAAAUCAGCCUCUGUAUCCGCGCCAGAGCCUCCGUCAAAUCAAUCUCUUUUGGCCAACGAAGUAUUAACCUUUGUUGAGCACGCGGCUGGUCCUCAAGAGCUGAGGUAGAUUGCCGCCAUCAUGAGUAAAUCUCGCCAAGCAACCCAAGGCCCUUCAGAGUUGGGUAGUGCUGCCUGCUCUGGUAUUAAACCUCCAAACAGUCAUAAUUGUGGAAAAAAUGCUUCUGACACUGACAGUGAUUCUCGCAACGAUGAAGAAAGUCGCGCUCCGCUCUCAUCUCAUCGACUCGCCUCAGAAAGCCUAGCUGCAAAUGUAACACGGAAGACCCAAUGGAAAAGAAAAGUGGAUCAAUCUCUCUAUGAACAUCCUAGCACACAAUUGGGGUUGCAAUCGUCUCAAAGGAAGGCACCAUCAUCCGAUUAUACAAGCUCCUCCUCCGACGCCGAACAAAACAGCGGCAGAGCCAAGGACGAUGGCUGGCCUCACCCACUAGCGAAGCUAAUUGGCCAAGGUGGUGGCGCUAGCAAUUACUUCAAAGAAUCGCGUGAAGGACGAGAAAUGGUUACUCAAAAUCGCGAUUUUGUGAGGGAUCACACCAAAAAUCUCAGACGAUCAAUCUUCCCCACAAGCAGAGUAGGUUGGCACAACGGCUUGCUUGCUAUUCAACUCGAAAAAAUCAAAGGGAUGUUAUAAGAAAGCGCCCUAGCUCAGACCAAGAAGCGGCGUACCACGCCAUUUUGGAUCUGUCUUCAGUACAAGACAUUCCUGUGAUCGAUAUUGACAAAGCAAAAAAAAUGGAUCUCCAACGAGCAGAAACACCAUGGCUGUUUGUUCAAAUUGGUAAUGGAAUGUGGGGAAGCCAUUGACCACGAGGCAAACAUUGCGCGUGUUGUUGACAAAAAUGGUUACUCAACAGUGGCAGCUUUCGAAGGAUCGGCCGAGUUUGAUUCGGAAUUCAAGCGGCAUCCAGAAUAUGUCAAACGUUCAACCAAAGCAAGUGCCGCAGUCAAGCCAGUCUCUAUAUCCCACGUCACUAAGCGCGACAAGGUUUUUGCUCAAAGAUAUCGCGGGGUCGAAGGGCGUGUCAUGCAUUCCAGCUCAGUGCCCGCACAGAACGGCCUGAAGUUGUCCAUACGUACUUUGCUAUGUGUAUGCAGGAAAUAAUUCGUUGUUUUUGCUUUAUUGUUUUCUUAGGCAUAGUUGUUCGGCAAACUGGAUGUUUUUAUUAUUCUCGCUGGUUUUUGUUUUGUUUUAUGAGAAGAUAUAUAUGUCUGAUUUUCAUCAUUU